UACGAUUUGCUGUAAGAGUGAACAUAGCCACAGAACAAGACGUGCACCAUGUGCUUUCUAGACAGUGAAGAAAAUUUACUCAUCUCCAUUGCCUGCUGGCCUUGGCAUUCCUGGACCUUGCUGCAAGAAACUGCCUGGUAGGUGAAAAUAAUGUUCUGAAAAUCAGUGACUUUGGAAUGUCUCGUCAAGAGGAUGGUGGAGUGUAUUCAUCUUCUGGCUUAAAGCAGAUUCCCAUUAAAUGGACAGCACCGGAGGCUCUUAAUUAUGGGAGAUACAGUUCAGAGAGUGACGUGUGGAGCUUUGGCAUCCUUCUCUGGGAGACCUUCAGCUUAGGGGUUUGUCCAUACCCUGGAAUGACAAAUCAACAAGCAAGAGAGCAAGUAGAAAGAGGAUACCGGAUGUCAGCUCCCCAGCACUGUCCAGAGGAUAUUUCCAAAAUCAUGAUGAAGUGUUGGGAUUAUAAACCUGAAAAUCGCCCUAAGUUCAGUGAACUUCAGAAAGAGCUCACUAUCAUCAAGAGAAAACUCACAUAGUGACAGGAUGGCGCCAAACUCAGCCUUCAGGACUCUGUCCUCCAGCAGAGUAACAUUAUUGUUCUCAUUAACAAUGAAUUUAUACCACAUUA
rnacentral:sRNA from 1 species